rnacentral:rRNA from 1 species
AUUGAACGCUGGCGGCAUGCCUUACGCAUGCAAGUCGAACGGCAGCACGGGUGCUUGCACCUGGUGGCGAGUGGCGAACGGGUGAGUAAUACAUCGGAACAUGUCCUGUAGUGGGGGAUAGCCCGGCGAAAGCCGGAUUAAUACCGCAUACGAUCUACGGAUGAAAGCGGGGGACCUUCGGGCCUCGCGCUAUCGGGUUGGCCGAUGGCUGAUUAGCUAGUUGGUGGGGUAAAGGCCUACCAAGGCGACGAUCAGUAGCUGGUCUGAGAGGACGACCAGCCACACUGGGACUGAGACACGGCCCAGACUCCUACGGGAGGCAGCAGUGGGGAAUUUUGGACAAUGGGCGAAAGCCUGAUCCAGCAAUGCCGCGUGUGUGAAGAAGGCCUUCGGGUUGUAAAGCACUUUUGUCCGGAAAGAAAUCCUUGGCCCUAAUACGGUCGGGGGAUGACGGUACCGGAAGAAUAAGCACCGGCUAACUACGUG